rnacentral:lncRNA from 1 species
UUCCAGAGGCCCUGAAAAGGUGUUUGUUCUCCUCUGCUUUUAACCAGCUGGGUGCCGGCAUUUUCUCUCCUCCUCUCCAUCUGACUCUAGGUGGAGACCAGGGCUCGCUCCCAGCUCUCACAGGACAUGCGUGACCAUCAGGAACCACCUCGAAUGGUGAAGGUGGAGGGAGGUGUCAGAGGUCCGGAUGAGACGUGGACACUCAGUAGCUCAGACUUCCCUCCUGUGCGAUACAACGGAAAUGCUAUCUGGAUGACAGUGGUGGACCCGAUUCCCGCACCCAGUUCUCCCGAAUCAGAUCUACUUGAAGGGGAGGUAGGACUUCAUUCUUGCUAUUUUCUUAGGCUUCCCAGAAACAAUGACAUUUUCUG